AUUGAACGCUGGCGGCAUGCCUUACACAUGCAAGUCGAACGGCAGCACGGAUGCUUGCACCUGGUGGCGAGUGGCGAACGGGUGAGUAAUACAUCGGAACAUGUCCUGUAGUGGGGGAUAGCCCGGCGAAAGCCGGAUUAAUACCGCAUACGAUCUACGGAUGAAAGCGGGGGACCUUCGGGCCUCGCGCUAUAGGGUUGGCUGAUGGCUGAUUAGCUAGUUGGUGGGGUAAAGGCCUACCAAGGCGACGAUCAGUAGCUGGUCUGAGAGGACGACCAGCCACACUGGGACUGAGACACGGCCCAGACUCCUACGGGAGGCAGCAGUGGGGAAUUUUGGACAAUGGGCGAAAGCCUGAUCCAGCAAUGCCGCGUGUGUGAAGAAGGCCUUCGGGUUGUAAAGCACUUUUGUCCGGAAAGAAAUCCUUGGCCCUAAUACGGUCGGGGGAUGACGGUACCGGAAGAAUAAGCACCGGCUAACUACGUG
rnacentral:rRNA from 1 species